rnacentral:rRNA from 1 species
UACGAAGGGGGCUAGCGUUGUUCGGAAUUACUGGGCGUAAAGAGUGUGUAGGCGGUGCUCUAAGUUCGGUGUGAAAUCUCCCGGCUCAACUGGGAGGGUGCGCCGGAAACUGGAGUGCUUGAGCGUGGGAGAGGAAAGCGGAAUUCCUGGUGUAGCGGUGAAAUGCGUAGAUAUCAGGAGGAACACCGGUGGCGAAGGCGGGUCUCUGGGCAGUAACUGACGCUGAGGCGCGAAAGCCAGGGGAGCAAACGGG